AGUCGAGCGGAUGAAGGGAGCUUGCUCCCUGAUUCAGCGGCGGACGGGUGAGUAAUGCCUAGGAAUCUGCCUGGUAGUGGGGGACAACGUCUCGAAAGGGACGCUAAUACCGCAUACGUCCUACGGGAGAAAGUGGGGGAUCUUCGGACCUCACGCUAUCAGAUGAGCCUAGGUCGGAUUAGCUAGUUGGUGAGGUAAUGGCUCACCAAGGCGACGAUCCGUAACUGGUCUGAGAGGAUGAUCAGUCACACUGGAACUGAGACACGGUCCAGACUCCUACGGGAGGCAGCAGUGGGGAAUAUUGGACAAUGGGCGAAAGCCUGAUCCAGCCAUGCCGCGUGUGUGAAGAAGGUCUUCGGAUUGUAAAGCACUUUAAGUUGGGAGGAAGGGCAGUAAAUUAAUACUUUGCUGUUUUGACGUUACCGACAGAAUAAGCACCGGCUAACUCUGUGCCAGCAGCCGCGGUAAUACAGAGGGUGCAAGCGUUAAUCGGAAUUACUGGGCGUAAAGCGCGCGUAGGUGGUUUGUUAAGUUGAAUGUGAAAUCCCCGGGCUCAACCUGGGAACUGCAUCCAAAACUGGCAAGCUAGAGUAGGGCAGAGGGUGGUGGAAUUUCCUGUGUAGCGGUGAAAUGCGUAGAUAUAGGAAGGAACACCAGUGGCGAAGGCGACCACCUGGGCUCAUACUGACACUGAGGUG
rnacentral:rRNA from 1 species